UACGUAGGGGGCAAGCGUUAUCCGGAAUUACUGGGUGUAAAGGGCAUGUAGGCGGGACCUUAAGUCAGAUGUGAAAUCCCACGGCUCAACCGUGGAACUGCAUCUGAAACUGGGGUUCUUGAGUGCAGGAGAGGAGAGUGGAAUUCCUAGUGUAGCGGUGAAAUGCGUAGAUAUUAGGAGGAACACCAGUGGCGAAGGCGACUCUCUGGACUGUAACUGACGCUGAGACGCGAAAGCGUGGGGAGCAAACAGG
rnacentral:rRNA from 1 species